AGACAAGUGAAGCCAUGUGCACUCAGAAACAUGUCAAAGGGUCUAUAAAGACAUUACUGACCAUGAAAUGAGAAGACGCCUAGGGGAUUGCCAAUCCCACACAAGAAUUGUUUGUGGUCACAGGCCGGUGCCAAAUUCAAGAUCAUAGAACAGAUACAGAUGGACAUCAUAUUAUAUUUUUGUUGUUAUUUCA